GAGACUUUCAAUUUGCAUUAGGGAAAGUACAUCAAACAGAGCGUCCUCUUUUGUAAAUUUUUCAGCUAUUUCCUUUCCCAAGGGUUAAAGGGACAAUCCAUCAACAUUUCCAUGAUUAGUCGUCCUCUUGAAUUUGAUCCUGUAAUUCUGUCCUCCAAGAAACAGAGUCCAUCUCUGCAAUUGUGCUGUUGCUGUUAGUGCAACACUCUUCUGUGCAUUGGAAAUGGACACUAGGGGUUGGUGAUCAGUAAUGAGGGUAAACUCCCUCCCAUACAAGUACUGGCUGAAACAUUUUACCCCCAAAUCAGACUCAAGGCCUUUCUGCCAAUCUAUGCGUAAGGGAAUGUGAUGUAAAAGCUAAGGGGCAUUCACUUCCAUCACUCAUGAUGUGACGUGACUGCAAAUAUAUCGUAAGGCGAGGCUACAGGCAAGCUUCACUGGACAAUAGUACAGUGUCUGACAUCACCAUUUCCUUUGCCUUUUGGAACGCUGCUUUGUCUAUUGUAAUUUCUUCCCAAACUGUAGUAACGAGUUCAAGGGGUGGAGCACAGUGGCCAAAUUUGGAACCCGUUAUGGUAAUUGACAAAUCCUGAAAAGAGCCACAUCUGUGACUCGUCCUUUGGUCUUGGGGCAUCCACCACUGUUUGAAUUUUCUCAGCACACUUGUGUAAUCCUUGUGCGGCGAUGGUGUGACCACAGUCAGCGAUGCUUGAUUUAAAGAAUUCACACUUGUUCUGUCAUACUCUGAGCCCAUAAACUUCUAAUCAUUUUAAUACACUCUUGAGAUUUUGGAGAUGGCCCUUGUCAUCCUCACUGGUAACAAUGAAGCCAUCCAGGUAAAACUUGAGUCCCUGGGUAGCCUGCAGCACCUGGUCCAUAGCUUUCUGCCAGAGUGCAGAAGCACAUACUGCUCCAAAAAUAAGCCUCUUAUAGUGACAAAGCCUUUUUUGGGUGUUUAUGACUCUUCUUCCAUCUCCAUCUGUAGGUAGGCCUCAGCUAAGUCCACUUUGCUGAAGAGUUUCCCUCCAGAAAGUGUUGUAAAGAUAUUCUCCAUCCUGAGCAGAGGGUAGUGAUCUAUUUUCAGUACUGGGUUGAUGAUGACCACAGAUCCUGACCGUCCAAUCCUUCUUGGCUACUGGGACCAUUGGCAUUGCCCACAUGCUCCACUCCACCUUGGAACAAAUUCCUUCAGCUUCCAUGCAAUCUAGCUCACCGGCUGCUUUAUCAUGGAUGGUAUAAGGAACUGGAUGGGCUUUGUAAAAUUGAGUGUGGCAUUUCCAUUUAACACUAUUUUUCCCUUCAUAUGUUUGAAUUUUCCAAAACCAUCAUUGAAAACUACUGUGGCAUCAUAGAGUACCUUUCUUAAUUUGCUUUCUGUUGACUCUGUCGCAGGGGUUGUGACAUCUAAAUGGUGGAUGGAUCUCUAAUAAAGUUGUAGUUGUCUAGGCGAAUCAUGGCUCCACAAUGCUGGCCCUCCUGUUUUUACCACAUGCAAGCCCAAUGUGGCUUGUUGGUUGUUGUAUUUCACUGUUUCAAAUAUCAUUCCCACAGGAGUGAUCUUUUUUCCAAUCUAAGUUCUUAGUUGGAGAUCUGCAUGCUUCAGUUUAGUAUGCCAUUCAAACACAUUUUGUGGAAUGAUUGAAACAGCCAAGCCAGUGUUCAAUUCCAUUGUAAUUAAUUAAUCAUUCACUUCUGGUGUAAGCCAUAUUGCUUGUCUCUCUUAUUGCUUUUCACUUUAUAAAGCUCAAGGCUACUGUUACGUACCCCGUAACUGGGUCACUUACCAGCAAAGAAAGAGAGGUCCGUUGAAGUCUGAUGAUACUAUUUUAACGGUAUUUACUGAUAAAAAUACACAAAAUAAUAUCAAUGCAAACAUACAGAUAAUAUGUGUCGUCAAUACUAAAUCUAAAAGCGCGGGUAUAAUAAUAAUCAAUAAGAAAUAGCUCUAUCGUUGUCUAGGGGAUAAUGUAUUGUCAGAUGGAAAUAUAAAAGUCACUGUUACUUCGUUCAAGCUGCAGCAUUUUGGUUGGAGAGAAAGACGGGUUAAAACUUGUCCAGUCCUUUUAUGAUGUCAAUCCUUCGAGAGUCGUUGGGAGUUGGUUUCCCCGUUGUUAGCUAAAAGCCGUUCUUCCGUGGUAAAAACCACCGGUUCCGGGGCAAAAUGGAACCGAACACACGUGGCCUCCUCCCAUCGGCUUCCGCUAUUACGGGAUCAGUAGCGUUUCUUCUGGUGCGUCUGAGGGGCUGUUCCUACAGACCCUCUUUUAUCCUGACCCACAAGGUCUCAGAUGUCAAUCAGGUUGGGGGUGAUGCAAUCCCUCCCUCAACCAGCCCACUUUGCCUGAGGGCUUCCACGUAGCACAGUAUUGCAAUACACAAGUCCGUCUCCAAGAGACAAUGGCCGUUUCCCGUAACUUUAUAUCGCCGGGGGAACAAGACAUUCCGCAUGUCUCUCUCUCAUUUCCUGGGUCUCCUGACCCAAAUCAAUAGUGAUCCUGCGAUUCUCACAAAGGAGGGGGCUACCCUGCACCCUUCGGCCCCUCAGAGCUGUGGUACAUUCAUAACACUACUUAGACACGAGUCACUCAUCUUUGUCAGAUUUUAUCAACAAACAGCAUGCAGAUUAGUGCUUUUUUUGAAACUGCAAAUUAACUUUUUAUUUUUUUUCUUUUCCCUGUGCAUACCAUGAAUUUUCGUCUCUUUGUAUGUGUUGCAUUAUUUGCAAGCUUUGCCUUUAAGCUUGCGUUGGUCUGGUAUGUGAGCCGCUGCCACAACAGUAACACAAUUCGUUUGGCCAGGCAGGCUUCUGCCUAGACUUUGCAAUUUUGAUCACACUUAUUUUCAUUCCAGACUGCAACUCAGUUUCAUCUCUGGCUGCUGAUUCCAUUGAUACAGCAAUUUCAACUGCUCUUUUCAAUAUGAGUUGUGCUUCAGUUAGGAGCCAUUUUUGAGUGCUUUCUUGUAAGAUUUCACAAACUAAAUGAUCUCUCAGUACAUCAUUAAGCCCAUCUUCAUCGCUUCAUUUCAUGUUGUCGAUUCAUUUAUUGCUUAUUCAUUUAUUAUUUUUAUUUCUUUUUGUGUUUGCAGUUUGCUGUCUUUUGCACAUUGUUUGUUGUCCUGUUGGUGCAGUCCUUCAUUGAUUAUAUUAUGGUUAUUGGAUUUAUUGAGAAUGCCUGCAAGAAAAUGAAUCUCUGGGUUAUAUACGGUGACAUAUACACUACUGUGCAAAAAUCUUCAGCACAUAUAUAUAACUAGGGUGGCUAAGACUUUGCACAAUACUUUAUUUGUCAACAUGCAGAGGAGAGCGAGCUUGUAAAUCUGGUGGGAGCAAAGGAUGUUGAGAACGGUGAGGGUAGAGCACCAUGGGAGUAGUGUGGGACAGGUGGCAGAGGAGGAGAGCCAGGAAAGGGGAGGGUGACACAGGUGCAGACACUCCCAGCCCUAAGACACCAGGCAAGGUCAUUCGAUUCCAAAUAGUUGGUUUAUUGAUCAUUACAGAAUGUCUCUCUGGUGCUUCCCACUCCCUUUCCCCUUUCCCAACCAUGAUCCCCCUCUCCCUGUUCCCUUCCCACUCUCAGUCCACAAUGGAGACCCAUAUCAGAAUCAGGUUUAUCAUCACUCACAUGCGGCAUUUUUUUUUUGUGUGGUAGCAGUACUGUGCAAUACUCUUUCCGAUGUAGCCAGUUACUUCUGCUCAAUUUAUUUAUUAUUAUUAUCACGUGCUUCUCACUGUUUAUGAACCCGUGAAUUUUGUCUGUUUUCUCCCAGUUUUAACUUGACCGUCUCUUCCCUUUUGAAGAAACACGUGCUGCACUUCUUAAAAACUCAAAUUUCUCUCUUCUCUUCCGAAGAAAAAAAAAGUGCUGUGCUUCAACAAUUGGUUGUCUUUUGCACACCGGUUGAACGCCCAAGUUGGUGCAGUCUUUCGUUAAUUCUAUUAUGGAUUUAUUGAGUAUGCCUGCAAGAAAAUGAAUCUCAGGGUCAGGGCUGUUGCCACAGCUGGUUGCAGGAUUUUCACUUCGGCACUAGGUGGCGGUGUGGGCUGUAAGGAGGAUACAUAGAGGCUCCAGGGGCUACAGGUGCAGAUGGAGAUGAUAAGCCCACCAAGUCCCAUGUCAAAGUUUGGCACCAGGGAAGAAUACAGAAGGGGAAAAGUGAGGAAAGAAAGAUGGAGACAAUCAGCAACCAUUCCACGUGGGCAGAACAGGCACCUGAGCUCAGGUUCGCCCGACACAGCCUGGAACAGGCCCUUUCGGCCUAGUGAGCCACGCUGCCUAGCAACACACCUAGUUAUGUACUUGGAGGCUCAGCGUGGAACUGGUCCUUCCGACUCACCUAUUUAAUGCCGGCCCACAGGACAAUUCACAAAAACCGGUGAACCUACUAACUGGAUUGUCGGAAGAAACCAGAGCAGGGAGGAAACCCAGAUGGUUCACGGGGAGAAUGUGCAAGCUCCUUACAGUCAUCAUAAUUGAACUUCCGAAGAUCCCAGGCUGCAAUAGCUCUGUGUUUAACCAAACACAGAAGCAAGUGACACCUCGGCCCACGCCAAAUAUUUCAGAUUUGCCAACCCGAGAAGAUGCAGAGCUUCAGAAAAGAGCAAGAGAGUGAAAAUAAUAAACAUGCGGGGUUUUGUAGAUGCUGGAAAUCCAGAGCAACACAUACAAAAUGCUGGAGGAACUCAGCAUGUCAGGCAGCGUCAGUGGAGGCGAAAUAAGCAGUCCACAUUUCGGGCCGAGAUCUUCCACCAGGACUGGGAAGGAAGAGGGAAAGAGCAUGGAGGGGAAUGAGUGAUAGGUGAAGCCAGGUGAGGGGGAAAAGUAGGUGGGUGGGGCAAGGGGAAUGAAUAGUGUGAAGCUGGGAGAUGAUAGGUGGAAAAGGUAAAGGGCUGAAGAAGAAGGAAUCUGAUAGCAGAAUGGAAGGAGGUGGGGCACCAGAGGGAGAUGAUAGGCAGAUGAGGAGAAAAGAGGGGGUAAGAGGGGAGCAAGAGGGGGGAAUGGAAAAAGAGAAGGGGAAGGGGGAAGAAAGGAAUGAGUGCCAGGGGGAGAUCAGUGAGAAGGGCCAAAUGGACAAGGGAGUGAAAAUAAUUGAAGAGCUUUUUACAAAGAGACAUUGCCUUUGGUCCAUCAAAUGAGCGAAGCUUCCUCUAUAACCCCGGACAAAAUGGGAGAACCAGUGAUUGACACAGCAAAGUUUGCUCACCUAAAGGAAGCUGUCCACCAGCAUGAGUACGUGAUUCAGGAGUAGUGGGAAACCAAAAGACAAUCUGCUCAUCACUCUCAAGCAUCUCUCCUUCUCAUUGCAGCCAGCCUCCUCUGUCGGAGCCCCACGUUCCAGUGCCUGAACGCUUCGGCAGAUCUCCAACCCAGUGGCGCAAUUCCCUGUCCCAGUGCUCCAGCCGCCUCUGUGUGUUACCAAUCGCCUACGUCAUCUCUCUCUUGACUGGGCUUGCUCCGACGUGGGCCACUGCUAAGUGGGACAAUAAAACCACCAUUUGCAAUAAAUACGAGGGACUCACCGCUGAGGUGAGACUGUCAGGGAAGUGAAAAGGAGGUAGUGGAUUGGGUGCUUCGCCAGCGUCAAGGAUAACACCGUGGAAUUGAGGACCCUCGUAGUGGAGUGCAGCUGGAAUGCAGAAACCCUGCUGGCCCAUUUCCAUCCCGGCCUCCUAGAGUGCUUGAAAGACGAACUGUCUACCCAAGAGAUGCCCGCCGACCUUGGAAACCUCAUCACUCUGGCCCUCCAUGUUGACAGCGUCUUAUGGAACAACCCUCUCGAUCACCAGCCAGAACCCCAGUUAUCGCUUGCCUCCAAAUCAUCUCUGUUGCUUUGCCUUCAGGCCAAACUUCCUCAACAAUCCCUGACAGCCAUAGUUCUGAAGCCGGUCAAAGGAAUUAGUCCAGGAGCUCUAGUCAAUAUUUAUUUGUCUGUAAAUAUUUAAAAAAAAGAUCAUCUGGUUGCUGCUUGUGUGAACUGGUCUAGAACAAACUUCAGUGAUUGCAAAAGUCCAUAAUUCUGGAAUGUGACUCAAAUGUAUAAGUCUUUUUCUCAAGGGAUGAUCCUGGCCUAAUUUCAACCUCCUGGUUUUAAGCGUAAUGUUGAAACCUACAGACCUUAGCAGGUCGAUUGUGGUGCUCACUUGUGGUGGGUCACGUGACACAUUGAACUGAUGCAAGAAUGUCUGUCUGAAGUUAUAUAGUGGACAGAAUUUAUUUAUUGGAAGCCUUCACUAGAAUGUCAAUUAUAGUCAGUAGCAUCAGCAUGAUUUUUAAAUACAUGACCUUAUCUUAAAAUAAAGGAGUUACAAUUUCAUCUGUCAGCACUGGGCUUUUAGAAAUAGAGAGAGCAAAUCGCAAGUAGACUAACUCUUAUAAUCAUAACCCCAGUUCUGGUAAUUUUGCAUUAUUGUGAGACCAAGCACUUGAGAACUGACUAAAGGAGCUGUGGUGAUGAAAUGGUUAAAUUAGUGAACCAGCCGCCAGGGUUCUAGACCAUUUAUCUGAAGAUGUGUUCAAAUCUCGUGGCCAAAUGGGGAGCUUAAAAUCAAGGCAUUAAUUAAAUACAACUGGAAUAAAAGAACGCCUGUGUCAGUGAUGGUAAUCAUAAAACCACUGGGCUGUUGGAAAAACUCAUCAGGUUUAUUCAAAAGCUUCAGAAAUCUGCCAUCCCUACUCAGUCUGGCCAAUACGUGAUUUCACACACACUGGAGAGGUUAAUUCUUACCUGACAAUUCAGUUUAUCAUGGGAGGACAAUUAAUACUGGCAAUGCCAAUAACGUCCACAUACCGUGCAUAGAUACAUACUAAAACUAACUUUGACAUGGGGAAAGCUGGCUGGGCAUGUGGCUUGAUUUCAUUUAGGGGUUACAGAAGCCAAAGGGAUUCAAUCAGGGCUCCGGACAGUGGGUGUUCAGGGUGGAGGGGAGCUGGACAGUACAACUCCAGGGCUGCGGUAAUGGUGGGUGAUGUUUGUCAUCUUUAGCUGACUAUAGUUCUGGAAUGUUCAUUGAGUGACCUGUUGUUUCCGACUGCCUUAGUUAGUUCAACACCUUUUCUCGUCCAGUAUUAACUCUUGUCUUUCCAACAGGCGCUUCUAAAGAUAAGGAAUAGCUUUAUUUGUCACAUCGGUUCAAAGUUUGAAGUAAAAUUUAUUAUCGGAGUACCUACAUACAACCCUGAGAUUCUUUUCCCAGCAGGCAUACUGGGCAAAGCUUCUGUAUGUGGAAACAUACAGUGAAAUGCGUUGUUUGCUUCAAUGACCAACAUGGUCAGAGGAUUGUGUGGAGACAGGCCACAGGAAUCGCCAACAGAGCAUGGCCACGGCUUACUAACUCUUUGGAAAGUGGGAGGAAGCUGGAGCACCAGAGGAAACCUGCACAGGCACGGGGAGAACAUUCAAACGCCUCACAGACAUUGGCGGAACGGAACCUGGGUCACUUUUGGUCAAUGUCGCCGCAGUGGCGUUACACUAGCCACUAUGCUACCAAGACACUUAAUGGCUGACAUAGACCCAACGGGACCAACAGCCUCUUACAGGUCUUUAUGACUUUAUGGCUCUAAGGCAACUUCAAAAAUGCCCCAGGGACUUGCCAUUAACUCCUGGACUCAGAGGAGGAUUGAUAGCCCCUUGUUUCGUAUACGAUCCACACACCAGCAAAGAUCACUGCCAGGAACCUGGAGAUCAAUUGGACAUCGGCCCUCUUCCGUGUCCACAGGGUAUGCUCAGGAUUGGGUUGAUUCGAGGCUGUGGCUGAUCCUGAUAAAACGAGGGUCACUC